UCUACGGGCGGCAGCAGUGGGGAAUAUUGCACAAUGGGCGCAAGCCUGAUGCAGCCAUGCCGCGUGUGUGAAGAAGGCCUUCGGGUUGUAAAGCACUUUCAGCGGGGAGGAAGGCGGUGAGGUUAAUAACCUCAUCGAUUGACGUUACCCGCACAAGAAGCACCGGCUAACUCCGUGCCAGCAGCCGCGGUAAUACGGAGGGUGCAAGCGUUAAUCGGAAUUACUGGGCGUAAAGCGCACGCAGGCGGUCUGUCAAGUCGGAUGUGAAAUCCCCGGGCUCAACCUGGGAACUGCAUUCGAAACUGGCAGGCUAGAGUCUUGUAGAGGGGGGUAGAAUGCCAGGUGUAGCGGUGAAAUGCGUAGAGAUCUGGAGGAAUACCGGUGGCGAAGGCGGCCCCCUGGACAAAGACUGACGCUCAGGUGCGAAAGCGUGGGGAGCAAACAGGAUUAGAUACCCCAGUAAUC
rnacentral:rRNA from 1 species